AUAAUACUCCCUCCGUCCAGAAUUACUUGUCAUCAAAAUGGAUGUGUCUAGAACUACAUCUAGAUACAUGCAUUUCAAUGACAAGUAUUUUCGGACGGAGGGAGUAGUAG
rfam:Triticum aestivum genome assembly, contig: Triticum_aestivum_CS42_TGACv1_scaffold_220595_3B